ACAUAGCAUUUUAUAGAUUAUAAAGCAUUUUCUUGUUUAUUUUAUUUGAUAUUCAGAAACUAUGAGGUGACUGUUAUUAGGCAUUUAACAAAUGGAGAAACCAAGGCUCAAUUUAAUAACCAGGAGACUCCAGCCCCUUGCCUAUCUUGUCAUCACAACUGCUUUUUAAACUCUAUGCCAACCACAGAAGUCAAUGCUGAAAAUUCUUCUGAGAGAAUACACCCAAGGAAGCAAAAUCACAUGCAUAUCUUGCCCCUGCUUUUCAGAAGCUUCAAAGAUUUUUACAGAUGUUGUAAAAGCCAAGAGGAGCACUGAAGAAAUGGUCAUAAAAAACAAUUUCUCAACCAAGACAAAGAGUGACCCAGGACUAAAACCAGAAGAAGGAAGCAGAUGCCCUGGGGUGGAUCAGGACCUGAAGCUGCAUAGUCAACUGCCCUCAUUACAGUCAUUGCUUUUGCCCUAAUACAUCUCUGUAGGGGGAGGACCAACACAAUAAAUUCCAAGAUGGCAGGAACAUCUCUGACCAGUUUUAAUCACUGAUGUGAACUGGUCCUUAAACACAGCAGCUCCAUUUCAGCCCAGAAAGAAUGGCUGCUAUCAAGAAUUCAACAAAUAACAAAUGCUGGAAGGGCUGUGAGGAUAAAGGAACCCUUCUCCACUGUUGGUAGGAGUGUAGACUGCUGCAACCACUGUGGAAAUCAGUGUGGAGAUUCCUCAAAAAACUAAAACUAGAGGUUCCAUUUGACCCAACUAUUUCCCUUCUUGGUAUCUUCCUGAAAGAAUUAAAAGCAGCAUACUGCAGCAAUAUAUGCACACCCAUGUUUGUAGCG
rnacentral:lncRNA from 1 species